rnacentral:rRNA from 1 species
UAAUACGUAGGGGGCAAGCGUUGUCCGGAAUCAUUGGGCGUAAAGAGCGUGUAGGCGGCCCGAUAAGUCCGCUGUAAAAGUCCAGGGCUCAACCCUGGAAAGCCGGUGGAAACUGUCAGGCUAGAGUCCGGAAGAGGCGAGUGGAAUUCCUGGUGUAGCGGUGAAAUGCGCAGAUAUCAGGAGGAACACCAAUGGCGAAGGCAGCUCGCUGGGACGGUACUGACGCUGAGACGCGAAAGCGUGGGGAGCAAACAGGAUUAGAUACCCUGGUAGUCCACGCCGUAAACGAUGGGCACUAGGUGUGGGGGGUGUCGACUCCCUCCGUGCCGACGCUAACGCAUUAAGUGCCCCGCCUGGGGAGUACGGCCGCAAGGCUA